GGCAGUGGUGGCUUAUCGGUUAAGGCUUUGGGUUACUGAUCGAAAGGUUGGGGAUUCAAGCCCCAGCACUGCCA